AACGAACGCUGGCGGCAGGCCUAACACAUGCAAGUCGAACGCCCGUAGCAAUACGGGAGUGGCGCACGGGUGAGUAACGCGUGGGAACCUACCCUUUGGUACGGAACAACGCAGGGAAACUUGCGCUAAUACCGUAUGCGCUCGCCGGAGCGAUCCGGCGAGGAAAGAUUGAUCGCCGAAGGAUGGGCCCGCGUCGGAUUAGGUAGUUGGUGAGGUAACGGCUCACCAAGCCUGCGAUCCGUAGCUGGUCUGAGAGGAUGAUCAGCCACA
rnacentral:rRNA from 1 species